rnacentral:lncRNA from 1 species
ACCUGGUCACAGGGGUCUGGGAAAGACAGAGGCUUUGUUAGAGCCGGCAGCUGAGGGCCGAGGCCGAGCAGGGGUUAGGCCAGCACAGGACGAAAAGGAAGAAAGUUCCAGGUGGAGUCUGGUGGAGAAAGACCGACCUGGAAGGCACCAGCAUGUGCACGUGGCAACUGAGGUCGAGGACGUGCCUGAGAGAGAGGAGGAAGGUGCCCUGCGGACCGGGUAGGGUGCGGAGGUCGGGAAUGGAGAACGGUCGUUGGGCAGGUCCGGGUACCCGUAGCCAGAACCACCCGGGUGUGCGCAGCUCGGCCAGGCCCCGCCUCCCGGCGUCCCCGCCCCCUGCUGGGCCUCUCUCCGCAGCCGCGAGACCCGCGCUUGGCGCAUAGGCCGGUUCUAAUUUACAAGAACACCGCGGCCUGAGGCCGGAGAGUCCCUUCAACCCGGGAGGCGGCGGCUGCAGGGAGCCGAGACGGCGCCAUUGCCCUCCAGCCUGGGCAAAAAGAGCGAAACUCCGUCUCAAAAAAAAAAAAACAUGGCCGAAACCAGGAAGCUGCGCGAUGGCGCCACGGCCCCUCUUCUCCCGGCCUGUGUCCGGAAGGUUUCCCUCCGAGGCGCCCCGGCUCCCGCAAGCGGAGGAGAGGGCGGGACGUGCCGGGGCCGGAGCUCAGAGGCCCUGGGGCCGCUCUGCUCUCCCGCCAUCGCAAGGGCGGCGCUGACCUGAGGCCUCCCCGCAAAGGUCCCCGAGGCGGCGGCGGCGGCGGGCUGUGAGAACCGCAGAAGAACGCUGGGCGCGCAGCGACCCGUCCACCCCCGCGAGGAGAGACUUCCACAGAGGCAGCGUUUCCACAGCCCAAAGCCACGUUUCUAGGGUGAUGCAGCCCCAGUAAGUUCCUGGCGGGGAAGCUCACGGCUGUCAAAAGAACUCUUCGCUCCAGCCGGCGCACGAAGGGGAGGAGGGCAGGAGGCUGCCGCCCGCACAGGUCAUCUGAUCACGUCGCCCGCCCUAGUCUGCUUUUGUGAAUCUCCACUUUGUUCAACCCCCACCCGCCGUCUCUCCCUCCCUGCGCCUUCCCUCUAACCUUAAAGACCCAGCUACCUCUACGCAAAUGGUAGCUACCUCUGCGCAGGUGGAAGUUGAGUUCGGUUCACGCGGGACCCUCUUCCCUGUGGCAAGCUGCUGAAGGAGACCUGCUGUUACUGCUUUAGCUGCUGUUCUGCUUAAUCUCAGACAGCUGGAAGGUAGUAUUCCGCCCUCGCCCAGCCACCCGAGUAAAUGAGAAUGAUGACUGACUGAGACCCUGAUGGUGGUGGCUUAGGCUUAAUCUCAGACAGCUGGAAGGUAGUAUUCCGCCCUCACCCAGCCACCCGAGUAAAUGAGAAUGAUGACUGACUGAGACCCUGAUGGUGGUGGCUUAGGCAAGAUGAACGUCUGAAAUGGAGGCCCAGGGCUGCCACGAUGGCUCUGUAGUCAUCAGGGAGGGAGCUCCUUUUAUCUUGUUACCUACUCCCCUCUUGUGCCCCUUUCUUCCCUUGAUCUAAGAAGGUUGCUCCGGAUCUCGCCAUCUGGCCUGCGUUCAAUCAGCAGAAGCUUCCUGGAGGAGCAGGAGGAGGCACUGUGCUCGCAUCACAUACCAGUGGCCAGAAGUUGGCUUCAGGGAAGCUCAGGAAAUAGGAUGCGAGAAGCCAUGAGACCUCCCCAAACUCUGCAGUAACAGAGUCAACAAGACAAUGGCUUAAAGAUGGAGAGACCAGUUGAUCGGUCACACAAGCUGUUCCACGAUAAUUCUUGUGUCAGAAGGGGAGGCUGACUACCAGGACCACUGGCCCCACUUCCAGCCCCUCCAUUCUGAGUACACUUCAGAGGGCUCUGGCAGGGUGAGGGGGUCUUGGUGGUGCCACAGAGAGUAAAGGUCUAGCACACCCAUUGUGGAGAUAUUUCAUGGGGACAACCCAGUGACUUCACUUGAAGUAAAGUGGGAUUUUCCAACCUUGAGAUUCUUAUUUUCUUUGCACGUGCCCAGCUUCCUUUCAAGUCUCUGGCCAAUGCAAUGUGAGCAGAAGUGAAGGGGCAACUUUCAGGUGAUGACUUGGAAAAGAAAGCUUAGUCCUCUGCUUCUCCUGUCACCCGAAAGAGAAACAGAGGCUUGUCUUGUUGAAGCCAGUGUGUUUGGUGUCUUUUUGUAUAGUGGCUUAGACAGUGGCCUAACUAGAAGACCAAGGCUCAAAGGAACACAUUUUGAGCUUCUCCACAGUUUGAGAACCUCUACAUUACCUACACCAAGCCUUCCCCAGCACUCAAUUUAUGGAAGACCAUUUCUCUUCUCAUGACACAUGUCCUCAUGUUGCUUUGGCCUGUUUUAAAGCUUUCUCAACUCCAUCUCAAUAAAGAAAUCUGCAG